rnacentral:rRNA from 1 species
UACGAAGGGGGCUAGCGUUGCUCGGAAUCACUGGGCGUAAAGGGUGCGUAGGCGGGUCUUUUAAGUCAGGGGUGAAAUCCUGGAGCUCAACUCCAGAACUGCCUUUGAUACUGAGGAUCUUGAGUUCGGGAGAGGUGAGUGGAACUGCGAGUGUAGAGGUGAAAUUCGUAGAUAUUGGGAAGAACACCAGUGGCGAAGGCGGCUCACUGGACCGUAACUGACGCUCAUGCACGACAGCGUGGGGAUCAAACAGG